UAUAUCGGCGCAAGCAGCUUCAACGACGGAUGCAACAUGAAAAUAACUGGCACCAAUUAUUAUAACACCUUAUUGGUCGUCGUUGCUAUUGUUAAAAGUAAAACGAAAUCAAAGAGAAUAGAACUAUGUUUGAAUUCUGGUUUAAAUAUGACGUCUGGACGCACGACGGGGACUGCAGAGUUCAGCGAGUGCGGAUCAUAAAGAAUGUGAUUAUGAAGAACCUUCGAGAAAUACAAGAACAUUUAGAAGACUUGAAGUUUCAUUUUAAAAUAUCUGGAACGUACUGGAACGUACUGAAACAAGUGACAUUAGAGACGCCAGCGAGGCUGGCGUCCUGUCUUUAUAAUAAUGAAUUUAUAAUAAAAUCCGAUAUCAGAAGUGGGAUCGCUCCUGUGAUCAGUUACUGCCGGUCUUAGUGUAUUUGUAAAUUCUGAUCCAGCUCAAGAAAAUAAUCAUCCGAACAACUUGUGUAAUGAAGAACGCUCCUCAGUCUUUCAUGCAAAGGAUGUCAAUAUUGCAGAGCGUGACCGAACGUUUGCUACUAAAAAAACAAGGGAUACGAUUAAAAUUACUAACAAGAUCAUAUUAAUUUUAUCAUCUUUUGACCCCGGUGAUAGUGUGUGUGUUCGGGAUUGAUUCAAACGCAUCUUGACGGCUGUAAAUACGUACCAAAUCAGUAACUACGACAUUCGAAUUAAAGUCUUUUAAAGGAGUGAGCUAGAAAGUGUGCAGACGAUUGGUUAGUUGCAACAUCUACACAAGAGACAUUACGUGAGACCAUAGCUAACAUUUGUUAUUAUCCUUUGAGCUAACCUCGUGUCCAUGAUGUAUUCUCAAGAGAACCAUGAGAUUCUGUAGGGAAGGCUUGUGGUACCGUGACAAGACAAUUAUACACCACCGAUCUGGAGAGCGUGACCUCUGAGCUAAUCACGUGUUACCCUCGAGCUAACCACGGGUCCUUGAUGUAUCCAUAAGAGAACCAUGAGAUUCCGUAGGGAUGCCUUGUGGAGCCGUGAGAAGACAAGUCUACACCACAGAUGUGGAAAGCGUACCUCUGAACUAAUCGCGUGUUACUCUUGAGCUAACCACAGGUCCUUGCUGUAUCCUUAAGAAUACCAUGAGAUGACGUAGGGAGGCCUUGGGAAGACUUGAGUAUAAAGUUCCAGGUUUUGAAACGACUACUGAUAUAUUAACCGGAGCAGAUUUAUUACGUGAUAAGAAUACAUGUGGAAAAUUUAGUAUCCUUGCCGAUGUUUUGAACAUACGAACAAGUCAAUUAUGCUUUGACAGUUUAGAUUACAAUUCAACAAUCAGUCCGUUUAAAUCGAAGUAAUGCACCAACACAUUCAAAACAGGAUGGUCGAGGCGGAGAGAAGAUACAAAGCUAGGUUUUUGAGAGGUCGAGCUACGAUUAAAAGAUUCCAGAAGGGAGAUAUUGUAAUAAUAAAAAUAUAA